AGGAUAAGUGUUAGGUUACUAGGCCACUUAACAGGCUAUAUAGUUCACUCCUACUAUAUACAGUUAAUUAUAACAUAAAAAGCACCCCGUAAACUAUUAUACGGGAAUGCUAAAGUCAUAUAUACUACGAGGGAGUAGUAUGAAAACUAUGCUCUCUAUCAUAAGAAAAAACACCCAGUGACAUGCUUGGGUGAACAAGGAUAGAUGUAAAUAGUUGAUGCAUGUGUAACACAUCAUAACAAAAAACUAGCCCGAAAGCUAGCUAUAACAUACAAUCUAAAAAGACGUCCCUUGAAUACGUCUAGAAAGAUUAUAACAUAAAAAAAUAGGCAAGUACCGAAGUACCUGCCUAAAAAAGGAUUAUCCACUUUUUCAUCCUAACUGAUUUCUCCCCAUAAGUCACCUAAUAUCUGAUUAGGUGGGGAAGAACCAUUCGUGCAUGAAUGAGAAUUUGAUGAAAGAUAAUUUUCACUACACAUAUUCAAUCAAGACAUUGCUUUCUAUAAUAAACAACUAUUUUGUU
rnacentral:misc_RNA from 1 species